rfam:Gorilla gorilla gorilla genomic chromosome, chr15, whole genome shotgun sequence
GCUGGGUGUGGUGGCUCACGUCUGUAAUCCCAGCACUUUGGGAGGCUGAGGUGGGUGGAUCACCUGAGGUCAGGAGUUCAAGACCAGCCUGACCAACAUGGUGAAACCCCGUCUCUU